rnacentral:rRNA from 1 species
UGGGGAAUCUUGCGCAAUGGCCGAAAGGCUGACGCAGCGACGCCGCGUGGGGGAGGAAGGCCUUCGGGUUGUAAACCCCUGUUGCCCGGGACGAAUGUGCAUUUUUGAAUGCAUUGACGGUACCGGGUGAGGAAGCACCGGCUAACUCCGUGCCAGCAGCCGCGGUAAUACGGAGGGUGCAAGCGUUGUCCGGAAUCACUGGGCGUAAAGGGCGCGUAGGCGGCUCAUAAAGGCUGUGGUGAAAGUUCGGGGCUCAACCUCGAAUCGGCCGUGGCGACUUGUGGGCUGGAGCACUGUAGAGGCAGGUGGAAUUCCGGGUGUAGCGGUGGAAUGCGUAGAGAUCCGGAAGAACACCAGUGGCGAAGGCGGCCUGCUGGGCAGUGGCUGACGCUGAGGCGCGACAGCGUGGGGAGCAAACA